UGCUCGGUCCAUGGAGAUCAUACUUAACUAUCCUUCGGUUUUGCUGACGCCAUGUUGCAAGAACUUGGAACGGUACUGCUCCACCAGCGAUUUAUCCACUCCUCCCUCCCCACUUGGCUCUUUCCUUGCCCUUUUUGUAGCCUUUCCUCUCUUUUGCUCCGCAUGGCCAUCGUUUCUGUUCCUCCGUUUUCUCGGUGCAUCUGCCUGCUCAGGCUUUGUGGAAGGCCUCUGCUGCAUCAAAUCAAACAGAUUACUUCACUUCACCCCAGAAAUGGGGAAUUUAUGUAGGAAUUGGAAAAUAAUGAAAUAGAACUUACACUCUCAGCAGCAUUAGGGGCUGCAUCUGUUUGAUUUGCAUCCCACACAACACUUCCCUUAUUUGACUGCCGUGCUCGUUUUGCAGGCCUUUGAGACUGCCUUUUGUGUUCCACCGAACUUUCCACAACGUCACGAUCUCCAGGAACUGAAACGCCAUCUGAAGGCCCUUUGCCGGAGUCAGACAACUUAGAUGGUACAUCAUGUGAUUCUCGCUUGCUACCUUUUUUGAAAGGCCUUCUGUUAUUUGAACGAGGGCCAUCAGUUGCAGACUGGUCACCCAGAGUUCUUUGCUGAUCUUGUGCAGCCUCUUUUGCCCUUUCAUUGCGCUCCAUUCGAAUCCUCUGGAGCCUCAUUUUUUCAACAUCUUCGAGUGCAAAUUCUACAAUUGGACGACGUUCUGCACCAAAAGUUCCUGCAAAGACGCGAAGAAUGAUAAAUGAUAACAGGGAUCGACCAUGCUGCGGUCAGCAUCAAACAUCCAAUCAGACAGGAAAAAAAAGAGCUGAAGGCAACAGAUGACAUGUGGGUUAGCAAGGCAUAUCAGAGAUACUAACAGUUUAUCUUUGAUGUUCUUAUUGUCAUAACCAAAUUGAUUCAUAAAAGCAGAGCAAUUGGCACAAAAUGACUCCAGUCAAUCUAACUAAAAUUGCGGGUGUGUAAAAAUGUACCAG
rnacentral:lncRNA from 1 species